rnacentral:ncRNA from 1 species
CACUUCGUUCUGAUGCUAAGUUAACUAUGACUUCUAAACUACAUAUGGUAAUUUAUUGUGCUUUGUGAACAAUCUACUGAUUAAGGGGAGAUGUUUAACACACUCAACCUAAACGUUAGAAACGGGUGCUUUUACCCACGGAAUACCCACAACACCAAUGCAUUAUAUUGUCUUACAGCUAGGAAACUAGGCAACAGAGAUUGUCACUCACAAGUGUCUAACUAAGGUGCCAGCAGUCGCGGUUACACCUAAACUUGGGGUUAAUUUUCUCAAAAAAGAGGUUUAAUGUAAUUGAUCUCAAUUUCCCUUGUAAAGUUGGAAUUCAAACUUCCGGCAAAAUACCCUAACAGAUCUUAUCACUCCCCUCAACAAACCACAACUACAAGACAGGGAUUAGAUACCCCAUUAUUGAGUGGCCCCACAAUAACAAAUACUAAAAACGAAAGUUUCAAACUUAAAGAACGUGGCGGUGUUCUACAACCUUAUUAGGGGAUCCUGUGGCUUAAUUCGAUAAUCCACGACUAAUUGAAGCUUUAUUAGCUAACAGCUUAUGUAUGGCCGUAACAAGUUUCCGUUUUAACAAGAUAAAAGGAGACCCGUAAAGAAAUACUUUAUUAACUCAGGUGACAUAUAGCCCAUAUAAAGCAGUUCAUGGGAUACAAAUAACCAUUACUAUCAGAAAGUAGUUUGAAAAUUCUACCAAAGGAGGACUUAAAAGUAAGCUUAAAACAAAACUUUAAACUGAACAAGAUCUAGAACGCGUACAAAUCGCCCGUCACUCCUGGUUAAUUACUGGGAUAAGUCGUAACACAGUAGGGGUAACGGAAGUUGCCCCUAAAU